rnacentral:rRNA from 1 species
GAAAAUUACAACAUUUAUUUAUUAUAAUUUUAACAUUUUAAAAAUAUGUACCUAUUGAUUUAUAUAUAUUCAAUUAAUUUAUACUUUUGGUAUAAAGGAAGGAAGAAAUUAUUAUGGUAUGUAUUUCAUUCCCGAAAGGAGAUCGAGCGAGAGGAGUUUAUUUUGAGAUAACAGAAUUAAUUAAAACUCUUUUAGGGGUUAAAAGCUUUACGAGUCACCCAGAUAUCUGGUUAAUAAAUUUUCAAAUUUUGGAGGGAACAGCUUCUAAAAUGUAAAGUAAAUAAAAUUUAAAAUAAUUAUAAGUACUAACAUCAUAUCUAAUUUUAUUAUAAUGAAUAAAAUAUUUAAAUUAUAUGAUCUAAAAUAUUUAACCUUUAUAAUUAAAAUUGGAAUAAUUUUCUUAUUAGUAGAAUUAUUUUAUUUAAUUUAAAAAUCUUUCAUUAUUAAAAGAUAUUUAAUAUAUUACCAUAUGAACUAGGAGUAAGGAAUUAUAAAUGUUUAUCAAAGUCUUUUCUUUAAAUAAUUUAAAGUAAUAUCUGCUCAAUGAUUAAUUUCAAAAGCCAUAGUCCUCUCUAUGCUAAGGUAGCACAAUAAUUUGAUCAUUAAUUGUGAUCUUGAAUAAAAGGUGAAUUAUAGUUUCUCUUUAUAUGUAAUAAUAUUUGAAAUUAAAUAUUUCUUGAAAAUAAGAAUGGUAUUAAAAAAGACGAGAAGUCCCUAGAAUUUUGAACUUUAUAGUUUUAGAUGGGGCCCCAUUUCAGUAUAAGAUCUGAAUAGAAGUAAUUGGUAGACUUUAUUAUGAAAAAUGUUAAAAUACUCUAGGGAUAACAGUGUAAUUUUAUUAAAAAGGUCAAAUUUUUAAGAUAGAUUACUACCUCGAUGUUGGCUUUCUAUAAAAAUCAAGAAGUAUAAGGUUUGAAAAUUUAGUCUGUUCGACUAUUAAAAUAGAACAUGAGCUGAGUUCAAAUCGGCGUGAGCCAGAUUGGAUUUUAUCUUUAUAUAAUUUCUAAGGAUGUAGUACGAAAGGAUUCAUCUUUUACUUUUAAAGUU